UUCUCAGUAUAAGUAUGUCCCAUAUAAUAUUUGGGACAUACUUAUACCAUAAAA
rnacentral:pre_miRNA from 1 species